GAUAAACGCUGGCGGCGCACAUAAGACAUGCAAGUUGAACGGACUUAAUCGAAAUAUUUAUAUUUUGAAGCGGUUAGUGGCGGACUGGUGAGUAACGCGUAAGGAACCUGCCUAUUAGAGGGGAAUAACAGUGAGAAAUCAUUGCUAAUACCGCAUAUGCCAUAGAUAUCACAUGAUAACAGUGGGAAAGGAGCAAUCCGCUAAUAGAUGGCCUUGCGUCUGAUUAGAUAGUUGGUGGGGUAACGACCUACCAAGUCGACGAUCAGUAGCCGGACUGAGAGGUUGAACGGCCAAAUUGGGACUGAGAUACGGCCCAGACUCCUACGGGAGGCAGCAGUCGGGAAUAUUGCGCAAUGGAGGAAACUAUGACGCAGUGACGCCGCGUAUAGGAAGAAGGUUUUCGGAUUGGAAACUAUUGUCGUUAGGGAAGAGAAAGGACAGUACCUAAGGAGGAAGCUCCGGCUAACUACGUG
rnacentral:rRNA from 1 species